CUCCUGCACGCCGUGGACGCAGACGAUAUACAUUUCGGAAACUUUUGACAUUUCGUGGUUAUUUUUGGUCCUCAAAGACAGUUUUUGUCGGGUUGAAAUCUGCCGUUUACAACGGUUUUUCGCGAGCUUAUCCCGUGACACGUUUCGUUUUUCUCGUGGCCGUCUUGUGGCUGAAAUGGCAUCUCGCCUCCUGGAAAACGUAGAUCGAAUUGGAUAAGUAAACUGUUCAGGAAUUAACACACAGAAUAACCAUUGCAAUGAAACGAUCAAGUUUAUUGGUGAUGCCCAUUGUUGCCUGAAAGCACAGUUGCGGAGGAAGCUUUGCUUAGAGGAAGGUGGUUCCCAGCCUGAGCAACAAAGCCAAGAAGGGAUCACUCAACUGAAAAAAGCAGUAUUUCCAGAUGAGUACCUGACUGACAAUUUACAAUAAAUACCAAACUUGGCCCACCUGAUAUUUCAUACAGUGAUUCAUAAUCAAACUGGGAUUGGACAAGGCCCUUUUUGUGCUUCCAUAGUUAAAAAUUUCCCAGAUGUGCUGAUCAGUGGAAGCCUAGGGUCUCCUCAUCAAAAUAUCAGGAUGAGUUGACAUAGGUUUACAUUGACAGAGAUUUUUGAGUGUC